CCCAAGGCUGGAGCCAGCUCUCUGAGCACUAAGUGAAGGAGCCCGCGAUGAAAACUGAAACCUGCUGUCUAUGUACCGCAGUGAGGACAGAAUCUGGGGUUAAAGGGGGGCUAAAGGUUGAAGUGCCAGAGUCGAGAGGACUGGUCGCUGGUGUGACGAGAUAAGAGGACGGAGAGGGCUCUGGGCCAGCAGCGAUAGGCCGGCUGCCUCUGAGUCCCCAAAGCCCUUGAGAGACUAACAAGGAGACUACUCCAGAUCACCUAUAGGCGAGGAGCUAAAUAGAAACAACCAGGAAGAUGGCUGCACAUCUUGGUGGCUGUGACGUCUCUGCAUGGUGAGCCGACAGGGGAUUCACAACGGAGAGACACUGGAAACAGCUUGGAUGUCCCCUAACAGAAGAAUGGAUAAAGAAAAUGCAGUUCAUGUAUAAACUGAGGACAUGGCCCCUCCAAGUUUGUCCUACCUGCAGAGUGUUCUGGGAAUGAAGCCGACAGAGUAGUCAUCAAAGAGAUCGGAGAGACUUCAUCCAGCAACCGACGGGAGCAGAUGCAGAGUCCCACAGCCAAACGUUAGGCAGAGCUCUCUGAGUCCCAUUGAGGAGGAACAGGAAGGACUGGAGGAACCGGAAGGAGCAGGGACACUACAAGAACAUGGCCCACAGAAUCAGCUGACUGGGACUCAAGGGGGUCACAGAAAUCAGGGACCCUGUAGGGUUCUGCCCUAGAUCCUCUGCGUGUACGGUUGUUGCCAGGACUAAAGGUUGCUCUCUACAACGCGACAGCAAGACCUCCCUGUUGAAGACAAUACCUACACAACUGAUUGACUGUGAAGAAGCUGGAGUCUACACAGAGCCUUCACCCCUACAUUCUAGCGACUUUGGUAUAGGAAGGUCCUCUGCAUACUACCAAAGGAGAAAUGUAAGCCCCAAUCCAGCCAUAAAACCCUUUCAUCUUUAAUGGUGUCCUGCCUGCAAGAUAUACUAGUACAAUAAUGACACAAACUUGUGGGGGUCAUCAGCCAAUAUCUUAUUUGAUAUACGGCCCACUCCAUGAGAAGGAACCCAUACCUGACACUGCUUUGGUGACCAAGAACCUGAGAGUAGAUAACCCAGGGACGAAGGUAAAACCAAAUACUGUUGUUCUAAAAAAAUGUAGCAAUAAAAUGAUGUCUAAUGACAUUCUGCUAUCCUCAUAGAUCAGGGCAUUAUUCAGCCUUCAUUCUGUAGCAGAUGGAAACAAAUACCCACAAUAAAUAAUAAGUUAAAAUACA